GGGGUGCAGCAGGCGCGAAAACUUUACGAUGCUGGAAACAGCGAUAAGGGCACCUCGAGUGCCAGGUUACAAAUCUGGCUGUCGUGAUGCCUAAAAAGCAUUGCAUAGCAAGGGCCGGGCAAGACCGGCGCCAGCCGCCGCGGUAACACCGGCGGCUCGAGUGGUAACCGUUAUUAUUGGGUCUAAAGGGUCUGUAGCCGGCCGGAUAAGUCUCUUGGGAAAUCCAGCAGCUCAACUGUUGGGCUUUCAGGAGAUACUGUCUGGCUCGAGGCCGGGAGAGGUGAGAGGUACUUCAGGGGUAGGGGUGAAAUCUUGUAAUCCUUGAAGGACCACCAGUGGCGAAGGCGUCUCACCAGAACGGACCUGACGGCAAGGGACGAAAGCUAGGGGCACGAACCGGAUUAGAUACCCGGGUAGUCCUAGCCGUAAACGAUACUCGCUAGGUGUCGGCCACGGUGCGACCGUUGUCGGUGCCGUAGGGAAGCCGUGAAGCGAGCCACCUGGGAAGUACGGCCGCAAGGCUGAAACUUAAAGGAAUUGGCGGGGGAGCAC
rnacentral:rRNA from 1 species